rnacentral:lncRNA from 1 species
AAGGGAAGGAAAGGAAAGGAAAGGAAAGAAGGAAAGGAGAAAGGAAAGGAGAAAGGAAAGGAGAAAGGAAAGGAGAAAGGAAAGGAGAAAGGAAAGGAGAAAGGAAAGGAGAAAGGAAAGGAGAAAGGAAAGGAGAAAGGAAAGGAGAAAGGAAAGGAGAAAGGAAAGGAGAAAAGGAAAGAAAAGAAAAAAGAAAAGAAAAGAAAAGAAGAAAAGAAAAGAAGAAAAGAAAAUGUACUUCUGAGAACUGGCCAGUAGAGGGAGCUUGUAAGAAAACAUUUCUGUCUAGGAGCUGGAAAAUUCCCACCGAGGAGACUCCGUGACUUUAAUUAUUGUAAUUAAUGGUAAAUUCAAGCAGACUUCCACGGGACACAAACCAGGACAGCCACAAAUCGACGGAGGUGCCAAGUGCAGGAAGCACAAUGGAGAACCUUCCCAAAACGCUAUUCAAGCUUAGGGUUCCCCACCUCGUUCCCCUUACAUAAUUCAAAAAUCUGUGGGAUUUAGGACGUGCAAUGUUUAGGCUCUUCAGAGUGAUCUAGGCUUCCUGAAAAAUUAUUCCCAAGUAGAAAGACACUGUUGGCUGGGAGUUGUGAAGAAGCUGCUGUUCUCUAGCUUUUAGCUUUCUUGCAACUUGAAGACAGGUAGCAAGAACGUGGUGUCAAUGGGUGAAGCUGUAUUCUAAGGAAAACACAGAAACUGAAAUUUGAAUGCCAAGUAAUUUCCAUAUGUCAAAACUUCUCUUUAAUACAUAUUUUUAAUUCUAUCUAUCUAUCUAUCUAUCUAUCUAUCUAUCUAUCUAUCUAUCUAUGUUAUUAUUGCACACAGGCUUUCUCUGUGUAGCCCUGGGUGGCCUAGAGCUCACUCUGUAGACCAGGCUGUCCUCGAACUCAGAGAUCUGAGUACCUAUGGCCCCUUGGGCACUGGCAUAAAGGCAUGUACCACCAUUGCCCUGUUCUUUUGAUAAUUUUUAGUCAUUAAAGUAAAAGCAUUCUUAGCUUGUAUACUACAAACACCAGGUGAACUUGGAUAUGGCUUUGGUUUGUAAACUCCUGGCCUAAGCCAACACUUAGCCCAACCUCCGAACUUCAUCUGUAAGGUCUGUGUUUCUCUUCAAGCAUACCUGUAUAAAUAUUCUCUUCCUGGGCCCAUGGAGAGAUAGGCACCUCAAAAACAAACAAGCAAACAAACAAACAAACAAACGAUACCCCCAAAACAACAACAACAAUAAAUUUAACAAACAAAUAAAAAUCAAAUAAACAAACAAAAAAACCCCCACAUUUCUUUGAGUACUCUAGAAAGAGAGGCAGAUGGAUCUUUGUGAGUUGGAGGCCAGCCUGUCUACAUAGUGAGUUCCAGGACAGUUAGGGCUGUGUAGAGAGAUCCUGUCUCAAAGAACAAAACAAAGGAUCAAAAAGAAAAAAAAUCUCUUUAAGGUACCACUGUGUAUGGCUGAGCAGAGAUAGCUGUAAGAAACUAGAGCUGAGGAGCGGGAGAGAUGACUCAUUGCUCCUUCAGAAGAGCUAGGGUUCAGCUCCCAGUACCCGUGUGGCAACACACAACCCUUUGUAACUCCAGUUCCAAGGAGAUCUGACACACGCUUCUGGCGUCUGCAAACACUGCAUACACAUGAUUCACACUCGUAUGUGCAGGCAAAACACUCAUGUAUAGAGUUUGAGUAAAUGAAAACUGGGACCCAGGUCGGGAUUAAUAGAACUGUGAUUCUCAGAGAAGGCAGAGAUAACUGCUACCCUGGCAUGAAUAGCGACUGUAGGAUGUGCUUCUGGUGUGACAGGCCCUCUGGUGUCCUGGUGCAGAACUAAGGGAGGAAGAGAAGAUACUGUUUGAGGCACUGGGAUUUGAACCCAAACCAAGCCUUACUGAUGGAGGUUUUAUGCGAGUGACUCAACAUCCCUAGCUCAUUUCUCACACUGCAAGGGAAGACACUCCUAUGAGGCUUUAUGGAGGCUGUCAAGAACUCAAAGCAUAGUAUAGGUACAUUAGAAACUUUCACUCUAAGUACCUGACAGAAACCAUGGAAAGCAGGAAGGACCUAUUUCUGCUCAUGGCUGCAGAAAAUGGAGCCCAUAGUAUGCUAUGUUGGUUCUGCGGCCAGCUAGAGGAAGCACGUUCCAGCAGUUUCUUGCUUCUUGGUGGGCAGGAAGCAGAAAGCCAGUCUAGAUAGAAACAGGUAUAGCCUUCAAAGACAGACUUCCCCGCUCCACCGGUUUUCCAGUUUUCCAAAGUGCUGUCACUUAAUAGGGACCAACUGUUCAACCAUGAGUCUGUUGGGGUAUUUCAUAUUAAAGUCUUCAAUUAGGCACUUAAUUCAUGCUAAAUUUUAGUAUCAGGAGAUGGAGGGAUACCCCCAAGAAAUGCCCAUGUAUGAGAACCAGGAGAGGAGCUGUGGAUUAGAACAAAACCAGAAGCUCUUAAGAUAGAGAGUAUACCAAGUACCGGCUCUCUCUCUCUCUCUCUCUCUCUCUCUCUCUCUCUCUCUCUCUCUCUCCCUUUCUCUCACUCUGCCUGUCUGUCUCUCUCUGUCUCUCUGUCUCUGUCUCUCUGUCUCUGUCUCUCUGUCUCUGUCUCUCUCAAAUCUCUGUCUCUCUCUCCUUCCCUCCCUCCCUCCCUCCCUCCUUCUCUCUGGUUUAUAACUGGAGGGGAAAUCCUAGGUUUUAAUUCAAAACAGUCCAGGUAGGAGUGCCUAACCUUUGAUGGCGACAGCCCCAUUGUCAACUAUAAACAUCACACAUAACUAUGCAGUUUGCUUGCAAACAGGUAAAUCAUAAAAAUCCUUACAGUGCUUUAAGCGAGCUUGUCAUUUUGUGUUGAGCCUUAGUCAUCACUCUCCUUGAGGGCAUGAGGCCCACGGGGCCAUGGGUUGUACAUGCAUGGCUUCCGGAUUGCCUAGUUCUGACUGUGGGAGCUUUGUCCUUGCCUUUAAGCUAUUCGCCAGCCUCUGAUGUAGGCCACUGAUGACGAGGUGAAACGGCUCUUGCUCUAACUGUACAACUGAAUUCUGCCCCCAAAGAAGCUCGGCUGAUUGUUUCCUCUUUCUGAACAAAGCCAGGUUUGCAUCCCUUUGCAGAUUUAUCAGUAUUCCAAACCCAUGAAUGUCUUGGCCUUCGGACUUCCAUUUUGAACUCAUUAUAAUAUCUGAUUGAUUCGCUUAUUAAUAAUGAGUUAAAUAAAAUCUUUGAUAUGUGUUCUUUCAACACUUUUAUGUCAGUCAUGAUUUUUUUUUUUUGGCAUGGAAAAUUAGCCCUUAAUUUCCUGCUUGAUUAUGAACUCGAAAUCAGAAAUGUUUUUCCUAGAAAGCCUUUAACGGCAUCUUAGGAGACAGUCCGUUUCCCUCUUUCUCCUUUAAUCAUCUUCUCUUUUAGCUGGGCAUAAUGGUGCGUUGCCUUUAAUCCCAGCAGCACUCAGGAGGCAGAGGCACAGGGAUCUCUGUGAGUUCAGGGCAGCCAGAGCUACACAGUGAGAUCCUGUGUCUUAGUUUGGGUUUUAUUGCUUUGGAGAGACACCAUGACCAUGAAAACGCCUAUAGAGGGGAACAUUUCGUUGGGACUGGCUUACAGUUCCAGGUAAUCAUAAUGAGUCUAUUAUCAUCUGAGUGGGACACAUGGCAGCAUCCAGGAGGUGCUAGUGGAGCUGAGAGGUCGCCAUCUUGACCCACGGGACACAGAAGGGGACUGUGUGUCACGAUGGGCAUAGCUUGACUAUAGAAGACCUCAAGGCCUUCCUCCACAGUGACAUAUUUUCUCCAACAAGGUGACAACUACUCCAAGAAGGCCAUACCUCCUAAUGGUGCCACUCCCUAUCGCCAAGCAUUCAAACACAUGAGUCUAUGGAGUUUGAAGUCAUAACAUAAUGCAAAAUGCAUUUAGUCCAACUUCAAAAGUCCCCAUAGUCUAUCACAGUCUCAACAAUGUUUAAAGGUCCAAAGUUCAAAGUCUCUUCUGGGAUCCAUGCAAUCUCUUAAAUGUAGUCCCCUAUAAAGUCAAAAUAGAGACAGAUCACAGCCUUCCAACAUAGAAUGGCACAUUCCAGAGGUAGGGAAAGGAGCAUAGUGAAGAAACACUGGAGCAAGGCAAGAGUAAAACAUCGGCUGGCAAACUCCAAACUCUUUUAUCUCCUUGGCUGAUGUCAAAGUGCUCUUUAGAUCUCCGACUCUUUUCAGCUUUGUUGACUACACACCUCUCUCUCUUUUCUGGUUCCACCCCCCUGUUAGCAGCUUUCCUUGUUAAGUAUCCCAUGGCUCUGGCAUCUCUCAUCUCUUGGGGUCUCCAAAGCCAUCCAGGUUUCACCUUCACAGCCUCACUCCAUACAGAGGGACCCCACACAGGGAUAACCAUGCAUGCCUGGCCUUGGUGACUGUCCUUAGUUUCAGAAGGAGAUUCCACAACCCCUUUCUUCUAUCCUUGACUUUCAAGCAAGAACCACGUGGCCGAAGCUGCCAAGUUCUGCUACUUGCUGGGGCUGGAACACGGCCCCCCCAUUCAAUUACAUCUCCAGCCAAAAUAUGACAAGAAUGAUCUCUGGGCAACAAACUAAAAUUCUUCACCCCUGAAACUUCUUGAGCCAGGUCCCCGCAGUUCAAAUCACCCUCAGGACAGCUUUCUUCCAUGCUUCUGCUCCUUUCCAAAUCCAAAAUCCCAAAAUUCACAUUCCUUCAAAACAAAAGCCUGGCCAGGCCCGUCAUGGCAAUACCCUAGUUCCUGGUACCAACUUCUGUCUUACGGUUUUAUUGGUGUGAAGCAACACCAUCCUAUAAAGGAAAACACUGAACUGAGGCUGGCUUACAGAGUCAGAGGUUUAGUCCAUUAUCAUCACAGCAGGAAUCAUGGCAGCAUCCGAUAGGAAGAUAUGGUGCUAGAGGAGUUGAGAGUUCUGCAUCUUGAUCUGCAGGAUGCAGAAGCCUGUUCCAGACUGGGCAUAGCUUGAGCAUAGGAGACCUCAAAGCCCACCUUCAUAGGGACACACUUCAUCCAACAGGGACACACCCACUCCAACAAGGCCACACCCACUCCAACAAGGCCACACCCACUCCAACAAGGCCAUGACUCCCAAACAUACCACUCCUUGUGGACCAUGCCUUAAAACACACCAGUCUAAGGUGGCCAUACCUAUUCAAACCACCACAUUCUAGCUUGUUUUUUUUUUUAAAUCUUCUCUUUCUACUUAUAUCUGCUUGUGACUCUUCCUCCGAACAGUUCAAGUACUUUGAAUGAUGCUUAAAUUUCCAUCCACAAAAGAGAGCCAGAUGAGACAGCAUUCCCCGAAUAGCAAUCAGCUCUCCUCGACUUUCAUGUUUCUUUCAUGUUUAAAAAUUCCUGACCGUGGGGUUGGGGAUUUAGCUCAGUGGUAGAGCGCUUGCCUAGAAAGCGCAAGGCCCUGGGUUCGGUUCUCAGCUCCGAAAAAAAGAAAAGAAAAAAAAAAUUCCUGACCGCCAGUGAUUAGGACUUUGGUUUAUGUGAAUUGUAUCUAUCUAUCACCACUCACCAAAUUAGAGACUAAACCAAUAUAUUUUGAAAUAUUUGUGUUUACCAGGCAGGAUGACUCACACCUGUAAUGCUAACCCUUAGCUGAAGUGAGCAGAUAAUAGCCAUGAACGCGAAGUCGGUCUUAGCUACAUAGCAGGCUAUAAGGUGAGACUUAAAAACAUACAUACAGUAAAUGAACAUAAAUUGCGUUGCGUUAAUUCAUUGAAAAUAACAACAGCAAACCAUUUCAUGUUAGCAAUUUUUUAAUAUAAAAGAUUACACUUUCCAGGACAAAGCUAUGCUAAGAAGAUGGACCUCAUUACCCUGUAGCUUCUCAAACUUCUCACUCUGUGAGGUGAUGAAAGGAAAAGUAACACUCAAGGACUAUUACUAAUUCAUCCUCUACCUUGGAGAUCCCCCAGAGGGGCCUCUGGGACCCGAUAGAGCUCCUGGAGCACUCUGUGAGAACUGACAUUAUAAAAUAAACUCGAACCUCCUACAGAUGGGGCCAGUGGCAUUUCGGUGGUGGAUGUGCCGGUGCACUGUGCUAGUCUCCAUCUGAGAAUGCCGGUUUGCUUUCGCAAGCUUUCUGGGACAGCUUUUCCUUGUAUGUGCGCAUGCGGAGGAAUGCAUGCAUGCGCAGCAGCAUCUGUUGAUCUGUGCUGUGCUUCAGAUCCAAGUUUGCGUGGGCUUUCACGUGUUCUUGGCAUUUGGACCGAAAAGGGAUGGAGAUUGGGGUAGAAAUGAACACCCCUUGUCUUAGCUUUCUCUGAGGUUCCGAUGAGGAUUACAGCUAUAUGGGUAAAAUUCUAGUCUUGCUUUUCUUCCAAAACUUUGUUCCAAUCAUGGCUGGAGGCAAAAAAAGUCCCAGAAACCUCCAUUGCCAGUGGUAUGUCUCUGCUUCUGACCCACUGACAGUUGCUGGGCUUAGUUGACACAGCAUCUGUUAGAACAGCAGUUGGAAAAGGAAGAAUUCUUUCUCCCCUUCUGAAAGUCUUAAAGAAAUAAUCACACCUUGAACCAUCCCUGAUGUAAUCAAUAUUGAUUCUCCUGACACAGGCUCCAUGAGACCAAGAAAUAUUCUCUGUGCCAGGUAAACCUGACAGCUUCUGCCGACACUGUCUAGGCACCACGUCAACUCAGUGAAGAGGGGGUUUAAAUGUUGACUUACAACGCUGAAGUCUUCAUGCCAGAGAGUUACAUUGUCAAAUUUUGAAUACAAGGAUAAAAUAUGCCCAGUUGUCUGGGGUUGGAAAGCAAGCUACCAUUGCUACAGAAUAGCAUAUGACAGGACUCUCUGCUGUGACAGAAAUAUUCCGGAUCUGUUUCAUUCACUAUGGUAACUGCUGGCUGAGUGUGGCUACUGGACACUUAACAUGUGAUCGGCUUAUGUGAGGAGCUGAACAUUAAUAUUACUGAAAUCUACAGCUAGCUUUGAAUAGUCACGCACGGGCAGAAUAGAGGGCGAUCAGCCAGUGAUCUCAGUGAUCUUAAUCGGAGAAGGAGUCCCCUCCCUCAGGCCUAAGCUGUCUCUGGUCACUGACCCUGCAGAAGUCUACAAGCCUUUAAGUAUCAUCGCUGAAAUAAAGGAUUGAUAGAUGCCCAGCCCAUGGCACAGGAGCAUGGAUCUCACUCAGAUUGGUCAGGAGAGAAGGGCAAGACCUCCAUUCAGCUUUGGACCAUUGUUCUGUGUGGAGAACUUCAUUUUCAGUGGCCGUAAGGCUGGAGGAGUAAAGGGAGGUUUCUAUAAAGGGUAUCCCUGACUCCCGAGAUGGUUAUAGUUUCCCAGAGAGACAAGAUUCUCAUGUGGUAGGCUAUUAACGUCAACAUCACCCCCUCUGGUCCAGAACCCGCCUCUGCUGUCCUUCCAGCUUCCUGUGUUCUUGGGAACCCGCAAUUGACUUUUAUUUUCUCUGUUAACCCACAAACUCCAUUCUGUCCACUCUGACACAGCACCUCAAAUACUGCAAAAUACCAUUUGUUUGGAGGUAAAGGGUGAAGUCAAAGGCGGCCAUGAUAAUCCUGAGGGGAUUAGCUCAAAAUUAAAGAGAUUGAGGAAGCAAAGAGUCACAGGGGGGGUUGGGGAUUUAGCUCGGUGGUAGAGCGCUUGCCUAGCAAGCGCAAGGCCCUGGGUUCGGUACCCAGCUCCAAAAAAAAGAAAAGAAAAAAAAAAAAAGAGUCACAGGGCAGUAAAAGGGAAGAGAACCCUGGUGAAUCAGGAAGAUUGGCAAGGUAGGGCCAGGAGCUCUCGAGCCUUGAAGGAGGAUGUACGUGGCUGGAGUACUGUAAAGCAGAGCAUCAUGGGAUUCUAAGCCGGGCCAUGUCAGUCAGUCUGGCAAGGAGUUCAGUUUCCUUGGGACGCCUGUUCUGCCCAUGUGACCAUAAUGUCUCCAGUCUAUACCUAGCUUGUGAGACCAGAGACGUUUGCCAGGCACUUUUCCUGGGACUGUCACGGCCUUUUCCCUGUAAUUGCUGGCCUGGUUAGAGCUGAUAGCGUCCACAUGCUGCACAGGGAAACGCAGAGGAGAACAGGGCACACGUAGGACACGACUGAGCACAGGAAGCCAGCUGGGUGUACGGUGGACCUGUUUCUGGGCUCUUCUUAGGCAGUUGUGACGAUCCUGCCACCUGCAAUUGAAGGAGCUCGAUUCUAGACCACCUGGGUGCCGUUGCCGAGAGUGGGAGGAUGUGAGAGUGAACGUAGCAGUGCGUGCGGUAGAAAUUUGGGCACAAGCCACUAAGGGUUUGAGCCAGGGAGUGUGUGUGGCUAGCGAGGAACGUGUACCGGGAGCUGAAAUUGGGCUGCCUAGUGUUUGGGUCUUCUAGGGUUGCUGGCAAGUAGUGGCCUCCUUCCCCAUUGUGUCCUCCAUGACACCUGCUUGUCCGUUUUCUUUCAUUUGGCCACUUUUUUUUUUUUUUUGAUUUCGAGACGAGGUUUCUCUAUGAGCCUUUGCUGUACUAGAGCUCACUUCGAUACACCAGGUGGGCCUCAAACUCCUAGCUCCACCCGCCUCUGCCUUCUGAGUGCUGGGACUAAAGGCGUGGGCCACCAUACUGGGCUCUGUUCGGCCACUCAGUAAGACACAUGAAUUCAGUGGUCUUCCCUCAGUUUCAUAGCAAGGCGUGUUCAUGGGUUUGGGCUGAGAUCGCAUGGGGACCUGGAGCCUUGUUCUAACUCUUCAGCUCACUCAGUGGGCUGAGAGUGAGUGCCACAUGUGCCUGAGGUCACCAGAUACCAUCAACCUGUGACUUAGGGCAGGGAUGCAGUUUCCCAGCUCCGCUGGGAGUUCUCCCCGAGGAAGGGCCGGGAACCCAAGGGUCCCUUCAUCGAAAUCAACUCUCCUGAUUCUAAAUAGAAGAGAAUGUAGAUUUGGGGCAGAACCAGAGGGAAAGGGAUUUCCCUUGGCAAAUUAUUUGCAAUUUGUGGAUUGGAGCUGACCCAGCUCUAAUUCCCUCUGUCACUGCGAGCGCUGACUAAAAUGUGACUGGCUUAUUAAAGAAGGAAAGCUGGAGAAGGUCCUCCCAGGGGGCCCAAAUGAACCAGGAACAGAGCCAAAGCCCACCCACAUCCUCCUGACAGGGGCUCAGGCCAGGGGCUGGCUGGCUCCUCACCUGCCUUUCUGUGUUUACUCCUAUGCAAUCGGUGCCUUUCUUUAGCAGCAGGAGAAGCAAACAGCGCUAGAGAGGGUCCAAUAGUCAGACAACAGGCGGCAUGCAAGGGAAUGCAUGUUGUUAGGUCAACAUCAGAGAAUACGAGUUUAUGUGUGUGGUGGGGAGGGGCAGGAUCUUUCCUUUGAACAUGCAUCGCAGGUGAUUCUGAGAAACAGUGAUGGACUUGGGAUCAGUAAGGUACGAACUCCGCUGCGUGGCUCCUCCACCCAUGGGUUAGAGAAGCCGACGAUGCUGACGAAAGUCCUAAGGGAGCCAGCGCCUCCUUCUUCACUAGGAAAACCUACUCUUGGUGCCAUCUGAUGGACAGUCAGGAGGCCUUUCAGCAGAGUCUAAACUUUAACUUUAACAUUUAACUUCACUUACUGGGGGAGGUGGUGUUGAGACAGGAGGAUUACAAGUGUGAGCACUGCCUGGGAUGUAGAGUGAGCUCAGGGCCAGUCUGAGCAAUACGGCGAGAUCCCGUUCAAGUGUUUUCAAAGCAGAAGACAGAGCUGAGCUUCUAGCUCAAUGAGCUUUUCCAGCGUUUAUGCAGCCAUAGGUUCGACUCUAGUACUGAGGGGGGUGCCUUUAUUGACUGAGGCCUUCAAGGAGCUUCUGGAUCUAGAAUGCAAAGGGCCUGACUUCUCUAGUAAGUUAUAAAACCAGACAGAAUAAUACACUCUGAGUGGGCGGCACUAUCGUGUAGCUAUAGCAAGUUAAAAUCUCUAUACAGCUAAUUUCUCUCUCUCUCUCUCUCUCUCUCUCUCUCUCUCUCUCUCUCUCUCUCUCUCUCUCUGCUCUAGCCUGCAGAACUCUGAAGAUAUUCCCUCCAGUGCUUGUUUCUUCACAAGGGCUGUAUAUAAGGCACAGUGACUAAGGGAGGGGAGAUUUACACAGAGCUCCAGAUAAGAUGCAUUUUUCCUCUUCUUUAAAUCUGCUAUGAGCUGACUCCUCAAGAGAAUCCUUUUCUCUGUUUCCCUGUCAUUCUGUAUUUCCAGGCCCCUCUCAAAUCAGUACUGAUGUGGGAGGUGGCCCACAGGUCCUUGCAAUGAAAGUGACCCCAUAGGAAAUGAAUCUGAAAAUUCCGUUUAUUAAAACAAACACACAGUUCAUGUGGGAUAAAGGUGUGCACAUCACAUUCAGGUUUCCCUGCUUCCGAGGUUUUUAAGCUGGGCGUGGCAGCUCACGCCUUUAUUCCCAAGCACUCAAGAGUCAGAGGCAGGGGGAAUCUUUGAAUUCGAGGCCAGCCUGGUCUACAGAACAAGUUCCAGACAGCCACAGCCACAUAGUGAGACCCCGUCUUGAAAAAAACAAAAACAAAAACAAAAACAAAACAAAACGAAGUCCAGCCAACCAAGAAACCCCCAAAAGCAAAAACCCCAUCAAAACAUAAGAUAACCCACCCCCAUUUUUUCUGUUUUCUCCUCUUCAAAGACACAUUCUACAGAUCUUAUACAGGAAAAGUGUGGCGAUCUGAACCGUGGUACAAUUGUUGGCCUGUGAGACACAAUAGACACAUAAUAAUUCAUCAUUUUCAGGAUUGGCUAGAAGCAAACACCAAGGGGGAAAAAAGCAUUAAAAAAAAUCUGCUAAAGGUCACCAGCUUGAUUUUCUCAAAACUCAUUUGAUUUCUUUGAGACAGGAUCUUCCUAUGCUGUCCCGGCUAUGUAGCUCAGGCUGGUGUGAAACUCUGGAUCCUCUAAUCUCUUGGGCACUGGGAUUCCAGAUGUGUGCCAUCAUGUCCAACAUCAUGUCUUCAAUGUGGGCGUGUGGAUUCUAGAUUUCACUGAGUAAGUGCUUGGCUUAGGCGUCAGCUCAGAAGCAGAAAAAUGUUCAUGUUCAUGUUCCUAAUUUAACCUCUACAUAGACCGUCACAUGUGUCCCUUCUCUUACAGUAAAUCAUGUGAUGCUCUUCCUGGAUCUCACACUUUGGGGUUAUCCUUUCUAACACUCUGCACACAGCGUCUUUUAUAUUCACAGGCCUAGUUGUUCAUGAAGACUCUCUCUGAACCUUGGAACAGUCCAAGAAUAGCCUACGCUUAGAUCCCUCGCCGUCACCUCCAUUCAGCCCCACAGUCGGAAGCCCUUCCUUUCCAGGACAACCGAAGGGGCCCGAGGAUAGAAUUAAAAGAGUGGUUUGUGAAGUUGGAUGAUAAAAAUCAUUCCUUUAUUUUUCACUAACCUCAAAUGGAAAUUUAUCAUCUCCUUUCAUUAUAAACACGAGCCGAGCAGGAGAGCGAGCCAGUCAAUAGAACAAGAUAUUUUCAGUCAUAAUACAAUCAUCUUCAGAUCUCAACAUCGUACUAACAGUCACCCACUUUAUGGUUAUAGACGUGGUAUUAGACACUGUAAAUAAAGGGACAUAUCUAUAACCAUAGUAUAUACUAUAUGGGCUUUUUAAAGUAUUUUUUUAGAGAUGUGCUAUUAUCUAAAGUGCCUUAUAAAAAUAUUCUGUAUUUCAACAUAAUUAGUUUCCUCUGUAAUGUAAAAGGAUCAUUCUGAGAAGGGGAGCAAAAGCUUCAGCGGACAGCCAGUUGGGUCAAG